rnacentral:rRNA from 1 species
GUCGUAACAAGGUUUCCGUAGGUGAACCUGCGGAAGGAUCAUUACCGAAUAUAGACCGUCGUGAAAACCACUGUGAAUGGUAUCAGACCGUGUGGGGUGGCCAAUUGAAAGUCAGAGGUAGCCUUAAGUGCAGUCUCAGCGAUGAGCUGCGGCCCCGCACGAGUCGCCUGUACUUUGAGAUGGAGUUUUACGGACUGAUUGACUUUUGUUGAGGGCAAGCAAAGCGAAAGAUGGUAUUCACAUAGCGAGCGAGAACGAAAGAUGGUUCCAAAUAGUAUGAACAACUUCUAACGGUGGAUCUCUUGGCUCGUGCAUCGAUGACGAACGUAGCCAGUUGCGAUAAGUAAUGUGAAUUGCAGAAUUCAGUGAAUCAUCGAAUCUUUGAACGCAAAUUGCGCUCUCUGGAUCCCCAGGGAGCAUGUCUGUCUGAGUGUCGCGAACGAAAAAAACUCACACACUUCGGUGUGUUGAGAAGUGGGCGCUCGGGUAGGGGCUCAGGUCUCAGACCCGUCGUCCGAAGUGCGUAUAGACCGGAUCCGCAGUCUUAAACGAGAAAUCAGAAAGCGUGUGUUCCCGUCUGGAAGGCUCUGAAGUUGUGUGUGUUUUACUUGAACGGAGUUUUGUAACAGAAUUCGGUUAAAGCUGGGGCGGCAGCAUGUGACCUUCUCAGACACGUCGGGAAACAAUGUGCGGCUGGUUGAUAGACAUGUGUAUAAACGUGUGAGGCUUGUUGCGAGUUUUGACCUCAGAUCAGGCAAGACUACCCGCUGAACUUAAGCAUA